GACGAACGCUGGCGGCGUGCUUACCACAUGCAAGUCGAACGGCUCGUCCCUGCUUUUGUUCGGUACUCGGAUGGCGUACGGGUGCGUACCACUUGCGUUACCUUCCCUUUGCUUUGUGCCACCUCUACGAACCUAGGCCUACCUCCCGUUAUGACCUCCUCCUGCCUGGUGGGGGUCGGUACAUUUCGGCGGUUGGGGUUGGACUGUCGGCUUAGCAGCGUGUUGGUGGGGUCGUGGCCUACCCAGGCCUUGACGGGUCGCCGGCCUGAGCGGGUGACCGGCCACAUUGGGACUGAGAGACGGCCCAGACUCCUACGGGAGGCAGCAGUGGGGAAUAGUGCACAAUGGGCGGAAGCCUGAUGCAGCAACGCCGCGUGCGGGAUGACGGCCUUCGGGUUGUAAACCGCUUUCGCCUGUGACGAAGCGUGAGUGACGGUAAUGGGUAAAGAAGCACCGGCUAACUACGUG
rnacentral:rRNA from 1 species